CAAUAGCGUAUAUUAAAGUUGUUGCGGUUAAAAAGCUCGUAGUUGGAUUUCUGCUGAGAACGACCGGUCCGCCCUUUGGGUGUGUAUCUGGCUCUUUCUUGGCAUCUUCUUGGUGAACGUUGCUGCACUUGACUGUGUGGAGCGCUACCCAGGACUUUUACUUUGAGGAAAUUAGAGUGUUUCAAGCAGGCAUACGCCUUGAAUACAUUAGCAUGGAAUAAUAAGAUAGGACCUCGGUUCUAUUUUGUUGGUUUCUAGAGCUGAGGUAAUGAUUAAUAGGGAUAGUUGGGGGUAUUCGUAUUCUAUUGCUAGAGGUGAAAUUCUUAAAUUUAUGGAAGACGAACUACUGCGAAAGCAUUUACCAAGGAUGUUUUCAUUAA
rnacentral:rRNA from 1 species